rnacentral:rRNA from 1 species
AUUGAACGCUGGCGGCAGGCCUAACACAUGCAAGUCGAACGGUAACAGGAAACAGCUUGCUGUUUCGCUGACGAGUGGCGGACGGGUGAGUAAUGUCUGGGAAACUGCCUGAUGGAGGGGGAUAACUACUGGAAACGGUAGCUAAUACCGCAUAACGUCGCAAGACCAAAGAGGGGGGCCUUCGGGCCUCUUGCCAUCAGAUGUGCCCAGAUGGGAUUAGCUAGUAGGUGGGGUAACGGCUCACCUAGGCGACGAUCCCUAGCUGGUCUGAGAGGAUGACCAGCCACACUGGAACUGAGACACGGUCCAGACUCCUACGGGAGGCAGCAGUGGGGAAUAUUGCACAAUGGGCGCAAGCCUGAUGCAGCCAUGCCGCGUGUAUGAAGAAGGCCUUCGGGUUGUAAAGUACUUUCAGCGGGGAGGAAGGGAGUAAAGUUAAUACCUUUGCUCAUUGACGUUACCCGCAGAAGAAGCACCGGCUAACUCCGCG